CAAUAGCGUAUAUUUAAGUUGUUGCAGUUAAAAAGCUCGUAGUUGGAUUUCGGGUUGGCUUCAGCGGUCUCGCUUUGCGUUUGUACUGCCGCAGCCUUCCUUCUUGCUGGGGACGGUCCUCCGGGCUUCAUUGCUUGGGGUCUGGAAUCAGCGACGUUACUUUGAGUAAAUUAGAGUGUUCAAAGCAAGCCUACGCUCUGAAUAUAAUAGCAUGGGAUAACACGACAGGACUCUGGCCUAUCGUGUUGGUCUGUAGGACCAGAGUAAUGAUUAAGAGGGACAGUCGGGGGCAUUCGUAUUCCGUUGUCAGAGGUGAAAUUCUUGGAUUUACGGAAGACGAACAUCUGCGAAAGCAUUUACCAAGGAUGUUUUCAUUGA
rnacentral:rRNA from 1 species